CAAUAGCGUAUAUUAAAGUUGUUGCGGUUAAAAAGCUCGUAGUUGGAUUUCUGCUGAGAACGACCGGUCCGCCCUUUGGGUGUGUAUCUGGCUCUUUCUUGGCAUCUUCUUGGUGAACGUUGCUGCACUUGACUGUGUGGAGCGCUACCCAGGACUUUUACUUUGAGGAAAUUAGAGUGUUUCAAGCAGGCAUACGCCUUGAAUACAUUAGCAUGGAAUAAUAAGAUAGGAUCUCGGUUCUAUUUUGUUGGUUUCUAGAGCUGAGGUAAUGAUUAAUAGGGAUAGUUGGGGGCAUUCGUAUUUAACUGUCAGAGGUGAGAUUCUUGGAUUUGUUAAAGACGGACUACUGCGAAAGCAUUUGCCAAGGAUGUUUUCAUUGA
rnacentral:rRNA from 1 species